rnacentral:lncRNA from 1 species
UAUUAUUUACUUUUGAGCUGAUUAAAUUUUGAUUCUUUCUGAUGCAGCUGAAGAGUUAGAAGUCCUAUAAGCUGGAUGCAAGUGAUUUGAUGUAUGUCUACUUGGUGCUGUUUCCCUGGCCUGAGCCAGCAAAAUGGAUGAAUCAUUUGAGCUCAUGAAACCUGGCUCUUAUAAACUACUGUUCUAUGUCCGUAAAUGUUCGAUAAUACAGUUUGAUCGGGAUUUUAUGCUUGCUUAAUUUGCAAAUUUGAAUAUGGCCUUACACUUUUGAAUGCCACUAUGGUUGCUGGUUAUUUACUAACUUGGUUUGGAAAUUUGGAAACCAUUGUUUGGUGCUGGAUUUAUAAUGCUUUCUUGCAUGGCAAUCGCACCUCUGACACUUUGCCUGUGAUUGAUGGGUCUGAUGAAUUGCCUGAAUUUAGUACUGGUGAUAAAAAAUCUGGGCCAGCAGGUGUUCAUAUCUAAUUGGAUUGUAGAGCUGGAUUAGGAGUGGCCUUUGUUGUGUUCUUAUAAAAUCUCUUUUACAGUUAAUGGGAGUUAGCCGGGUAAUUUAUUCCAUUUUACCCUCUAUUGGUCCAUUCUAAGUUCUCAACUGCUAUGAUAUUAAUGUUGUUAACCUUUUGGCAGGCUAUUUUGUUCCUUUGUCCUUUUCUGGGUACAUGAUUGGCUCUCUUGCUAGUUUUGGUGCGCAUUUAAAUUUAUAGAGCGAGAUUGCUUCUGCAUGGAAAGAUCGUUGGUGGAAGAGUUAGUUUUCCUGUUAGAUGGUGACAUGUUUAGAUACUCUUGGAGGGUUCAGCAAUGUGGUUCCACUAAUUUGUUAUGCAUGCUUCUGCGCGGAAAGAUCGUUGGUGGAAGAGUUAGUUUUCCUGUUAGAUGGUGACAUGUUUAGAUACUCUUGGAGGGUUCAGCAAUAUGGGGCCGCUAAUUUGUUCUGCUUUGGUGUUUCCAUUUCGCGGGG